UACGUAGGGUGCGAGCGUUGUCCGGAAUUAUUGGGCGUAAAGAGCUCGUAGGCGGUCUGUCGCGUCGGUCGUGAAAACUUGGGGCUUAACCCUGAGCUUGCGGUCGAUACGGGCAUGACUGGAGUUCGGUAGGGGAGACUGGAAUCCUGGUGUAGCGGUGAAAUGCGCAGAUAUCAGGAGGAACACCGGUGGCGAAGGCGGGUCUCUGGGCCGAUACUGACGCUGAGGAGCGAAAGCGUGGGGAGCGAACAGG
rnacentral:rRNA from 1 species